GACGAACGCUGGCGGCGUGCUUAACACAUGCAAGUCGAACGGAAAGGCCCCUUUGGGGGUCCUCGAGUGGCGAACGGGUGAGUAACACGUGAGUAACCUGCCCUUGACUUCGGGAUAACUUCAGGAAACUGGGGCUAAUACCGGAUAGGAAUCCUUGCUGCAUGGUGGGGGUUGGAAAGCUUCGGCGGUUUUGGAUGGACUCGCGGCUUAUCAGCUUGUUGGUGGGGUAGUGGCUUACCAAGGCUUUGACGGGUAGCCGGCCUGGGAGGGCGACCGGCCACAGUGGGACUGAGAUACGGCCCAGACUCCUACGGGAGGCAGCAGUGGGGAAUAUUGCACAAUGGGCGGAAGCCUGAUGCAGCAACGCCGCGGGCGGGAGGACGGCCUUCGGGUUGGAAACCGCUUUCAGCAGGGGCGAAGCUUGUGGUGACGGCACCUGCAGAAGAAGCACCGGCUAACUACGUG
rnacentral:rRNA from 1 species